rnacentral:rRNA from 1 species
UGAGUAACACGUGGGCAACCUGCCUGUAAGACUGGGAUAACUCCGGGAAACCGGGGCUAAUACCGGAUAACUCAACGAACCGCAUGGUUCGGUGUUAAAAGAUGGCUUCGGCUAUCACUUACAGAUGGGCCCGCGGCGCAUUAGCUAGUUGGUGAGGUAACGGCUCACCAAGGCAACGAUGCGUAGCCGACCUGAGAGGGUGAUCGGCCACACUGGGACUGAGACACGGCCCAGACUCCUACGGGAGGCAGCAGUAGGGAAUCAUCCGCAAUGGACGAAAGUCUGACGGUGCAACGCCGCGUGAGUGAUGAAGGUUUUCGGAUCGUAAAACUCUGUUGUUAGGGAAGAACACGUGCUGUUCGAAUAGGGCAGUGCCUUGACGGUACCUAACCAGAAAGCCACGGCUAACUACGUGCCAGCAGCCGCGGUAAUACGUAGGUGGCAAGCGUUGUCCGGAAUUAUUGGGCGUAAAGCGCGCGCAGGCGGUUUCUUAAGUCUGAUGUGAAAGCCCACAGCUCAACUGUGGAGGGUCAUUGGAAACUGGGGAACUUGAGUACAGAAGAGGAGAGCGGAAUUCCACGUGUAGCGGUGAAAUGCGUAGAUAUGUGGAGGAACACCAGUGGCGAAGGCGGCUCUCUGGUCUGUGACUGACGCUGAGGCGCGAAAGCAUGGGUAGCGAACAGGAUUAGAUACCCUGGUAGUCCAUGCCGUAAACGAUGAGUGCUAGGUGUUAGGGGGUCCAACCCUUAGUGCUGCAGUUAACGCAAUAAGCACUCCGCCUGGGGAGUACGGCCGCAAGGCUGAAACUCAAAGGAAUUGACGGGGGCCCGCACAAGCGGUGGAGCAUGUGGUUUAAUUCGACGCAACGCGAAGAACCUUACCAGGUCUUGACAUCUUCGGACCGCCCUAGAGAUAGGGUCUUCCCUUCGGGGACCGAAUGACAGGUGGUGCAUGGUUGUCGUCAGCUCGUGUCGUGAGAUGUUGGGUUAAGUCCCGCAACGAGCGCAACCCUUAACCUUAGUUGCCAGCAUUCAGUUGGGCACUCUAAGGUGACUGCCGGUGACAAACCGGAGGAAGGUGGGGAUGACGUCAAAUCAUCAUGCCCCUUAUGACCUGGGCUAC